UGCUUUUUCAACUCAGUGGCGGACGGGUGAGUAACGCGUGAGUAACCUGCCUUUCAGAGGGGGAUAACGUUCUGAAAAGAACGCUAAUACCGCAUAAGAUUGUAGCUUCGCAUGGAGCAGCAAUCAAAGGAGCAAUCCGCUGAAAGAUGGACUCGCGUCCGAUUAGAUAGUUGGCGGGGUAACGGCCCACCAAGUCGACGAUCGGUAGCCGGACUGAGAGGUUGAUCGGCCACAUUGGGACUGAGACACGGCCCAGACUCCUACGGGAGGCAGCAGUGAGGGAUAUUGGGCAAUGGGGGAAACCCUGACCCAGCAACGCCGCGUGAGGGAUGACGGUUUUCGGAUUGUAAACCUCUGUCCUCUGUGAAGAUAGUGACGGUAGCAGAGGAGGAAGCUCCGGCUAACUACGUGCCAGCAGCCGCGGUAAUACGUAGGGAGCAAGCGUUGUCCGGAUUUACUGGGUGUAAAGGGUGCGUAGGCGGAUUGGCAAGUCAGAAGUGAAAUCCAUGGGCUUAACCCAUGAACUGCUUUUGAAACUGUUAGUCUUGAGUGAAGUAGAGGUAGGCGGAAUUCCCGGUGUAGCGGUGAAAUGCGUAGAGAUCGGGAGGAACACCAGUGGCGAAGGCGGCCUACUGGGCUUUAACUGACGCUGAGGCACGAAAGUGUGGGUAGCAAACAGGAUUAGAUACCCUGGUAGUCCACACUGUAAACGAUGAUUACUA
rnacentral:rRNA from 1 species